GGUUACGAUCAUUAGCGGGUCUGAGAGGAUGGUCAGCCACAGUGGAAUUGAGACACGGUCCAGAGUCAUACGGGAGCCAGCAGUGGGGAAUAUUGCGCCAUGGGGGAAGCCCUGACGCAGCCAUGCCGUUUGUGUGAAGAGUGCUCUAGGGUUGUAAAGCACUUUCAGUAGGGAGAAAAAGUUAGUAGAUAAUACCUGCUUACCAGAACGUUACUUACCGAAGAAGCACCGGCUAAAUCCGUGCCAGCAGCCGCGGUAAUAUGGAGGGUGCAAGCGUUAAUCGGAAUUUCUGGGUGUAAAGCGGAAGUAGGCGGCUUGGUCACUUGGAUGUGAAAGCCCCGGGCUCAUCCUGGGAACUGCGUUCAAUACUGCCAAGACAGAGUAUGGGAGAGGGUUGUGGAAUUGCACGUGUAGCGGUGAACUAGGUAGAUAUGUGGAGGAACAUCAGUGGCGAAGGCGGCACCCUGGCCCAAUAGACACGCUGAGG
rnacentral:rRNA from 1 species